CAGCCGCCGCGGUAAUACGAAGGGUGCAAGCGUUACUCGGAAUUACUGGGCGUAAAGCGUGCGUAGGUGGUGGUUUAAGUCCGUUGUGAAAGCCCUGGGCUCAACCUGGGAAUUGCAGUGGAUACUGGGUCACUAGAGUGUGGUAGAGGAUAGUGGAAUUUCCGGUGUAGCAGUGAAAUGCGUAGAGAUCGGAAGGAACAUCUGUGGCGAAGGCGACUAUCUGGGCCAACACUGACACUGAGGCACGAAAGCGUGGGGAGCAAACAGGAUUAGAUACCCCCGUAGUCCUGUCUCUUAUACA
rnacentral:rRNA from 1 species